AAUAAAUGUAAUUAGGAUAAAAAGAGAUUAAAUGAUAGAUCAUUAAAUUUAAAAAAUUUGGCGGUACUUAUAAUUUAGAGGAAUCUGUAUAGUAAUCGAUAAUCCACGAUAAGAAAUACUUAUUAAAAGUUUAUGUAUUGCUGUUUUAAAUAUUUAAUUGAGUUAAAUAUAAUAAAAUUUAUUAAGUUUAAUAAAAUAAUUCAAGUCAAAAUAUAGCUUUUUUAAGAUUUAAUAUGGAUUACAAUUAAUUUAAUUAUUAUUUGGAUUAUAAAAUUUAAUUUUUAUAUGAAAGUGGAUUUAAAAGUAAAUUUAAUUAAUUUAUUAAAUUGAAUUAUUAAUAUAAGUAUGU
rnacentral:rRNA from 1 species